UACGUAGGCAGCAAACGUUGUUCGGAAUUACUGGGCGUAAAGAGUGUGUAGGCGGUUCUGCAAGUUUGGUGUGAAAUCUCCCGGCUUAACUGGGAGGGUGCGCCGAAAACUGCAAAGCUAGAGUACUGGAGAGGAAAGCGGAAUUCCAGGUGUAGCGGUGAAAUGCGUAGAUAUCUGGAGGAACACCGGUGGCGAAGGCGGCAUCCUGGACCGGUAUUGACGCUGAGGCGCGAAAGCUAGGGGAGCAAACGGG
rnacentral:rRNA from 1 species